rnacentral:pre_miRNA from 1 species
GGCAUGGAAUCCUGUGGCAUCCAUGAAACUACCUUCAACUCCAUCAUGAAGUGUGAUCUGGACAUUCUCAAGGACCUGUAUGCC